AUGCCCUUCUUCUCUUUCCCCUCACGGCAGAGAAGCUGAUCGAUCAGAAAAGGUGAUCAAAUCAAGCCAGUCCGCCAAAAAACAGAACAGCUUUCCACGCGAGGUCGAGAAGCCUCUCGAACCUUCCGGAUUCCCUCAAACCCUAGCUUAAACCCUAGCAUUCUCGCCCGAAUUGGCGCGGCGGCCUCUAUGGCUGAAGAGGAGAAGGCGGCGACGGCGGAGGGGGACGAGAAGGAGGACGUGAGCGACGCCGACGACUCGCCCCUCCCGGCGUUGAGGCGUCGCGCGGCGGCGAGCGACGACGACGAGGAGGAGGACGAGGGCGGCGGCGGCGGAGGCGAGGGGAGUGGUUCCUCGCCGCCGUCGAGGGUGGUCGGGUCCGAUUCCGAUUCCGACUCCGACGAGCUGGGCGCGGCCGAGGUGUACGGCGAAGACGAGGGUUCUGAGGAAUGCGAGGAGGUUCGCAAGGAGUUCGACGCAGGAUCUGGGGGUGGUGGAGAGGCCGAGGAAGUGGCGCCGGAUGAGGUGGCUGCGGCGCCGGAGGACGAGGGGAGGUACGAGGAGGAGGAGGAGGCCCAGGCUGAGACUGGAGCCGAACUGAAAGAAGAUGACAAGGAGAACAAGGGGUUCGAGCCCGACGCCGUGCCGAGAACAGGUGCCUUCUACAUGCACGAUGAUCGCUUCCAGAACAAGGAAAACCGCGGCCGCGGGCGCCAGAGGGACUUUUUCGGUGGCCAAAAGUUAUGGAAUUUUAAAGAUGAUAGCGUAUGGCUGCAUGAUCGGUUUGAUGAGAUCAAUACCCAUGGUGUUCAGCAUGACAGUACAAGGAGGCCAAGAAGUCCUUUUAGAGCAUGGGCUGGUGGUAGAACUCAUGACGUUAACCAUGAUCGGUUUGAUGAGAUCAAUACCCGUUAUGUUAAACAUGACAGUACAAGGAGGCCAAGAAGUCCUUUUAGAGCAUGGGCUGGUGGUAGAACUCAUGACGUUAACCACGAUCAGUCUGAUGAGAUCAAUACCCGUUAUGUUCAACAUGACAGUAUAAGGAGGCCAAGAAGUCCUUUUAGAGCAUGGGCUGGUGGUAGAACUCAUGACAUUAACCAUGGUUCUCUAGAAGGAACCAAAUCCGCAUCCUAUUAUCAUGAUUACAGAGCAGACUACAAGUAUGGGAGUACCAACAACUACAAUAGAUUCCCAAAAGAGGCCAACAUUUCCUAUUACAGCGCCAAGAACUACAGAAGUGUUCCAGGAAAAUCCCAUUCGUACUAUGAUGAGCAGAACUUUUAUAAUGCUCGGACAGAAUCUCGAAUCUGUUAUGUGAAUGCUAAAGGUUACAACAAUGCACCAAAUGUUAACAGAGGGAAACCAUCAAGGCCCUACCAACCUACCUGGAAGAAUACUUUGCAAACCUCUUCAGUGCAAAACAAUAGGACAUAUUCCAGAUCACAGAAUGAGCAGGGCUGUUCUGAUAUAGGUGUGGGAAAGAACUCACAUCGAACUUUAAGUUUGCAGAAUGAACAAGAGUUUUCGUCGAAGCAAGAACCCCCCUUUGUAGAAAGAAGGAAAGCACGACCUGACAUUUUAAGUAAGCUCUUCUCAUCCUCCGUUCGAAUGGCACAUAGUUCUCUGAAACCUCAAUCUCGUCCCAGUUUUGGACUGAAGGCAUUUGCUCCUUCUGGUGAGCAUGGAAAUACUGCUGGUUCUCUUAGUAUGGUAAAAGGCAUGCCUAACCUUGGUUCUCAUUCAACUGUAUCAACAUCAAAUAGCCAAUAUUCAGAAUCCAGGGAUCAAGGAAGUGGUUUGAACAUUGGUGUCCCCACAAAGAACAAACUUUCUGCUCAGAUAUUCCAUCAAAACAUUGCCAGUGCCAGCAAAAUUCAGUCUCAUCCACAAAAUACACUGAUAAGUUCAACUGAAGAUGCAGAGACCAGUCCCCCUCCUGGGUCAAACAAUUCUUUAGCACCGUCUGUUAUAAUAGUGCAAAAUGAUAAGGUAGAAGCAGUGAGUGGCUCUUUCCCUUGUGGUGGUGGUCAUGCUCUUGAUGUUACGGGAGCAAAGGACCUUACUCUUGGCACUCCAGCAGUAUUGCCAGUUAUGAAGUUUGGUGAGCAGCAUCCUAGGGGACCUGAUAUCCCAUGCACUGGUAUGGCUUUCCCAGGACUUUUGGCUCAUCAACCCAGUGACAAUUCUGAGCUUAAUCAAAUUACUUGGCUGCAAACAUUGUCUGGUGCUACUGGGGUUCUUGGGGCAACACAUGAUCCUUCUUAUAUUGGCAGUCAUUAUCCCCAACUAUCAGUAUUCCCAAGGUUGGUGCUAAAGAUUUUGGCUAUCUUCAAUGUAAUCACAAUUACAGCAUGCAGAUUAUUAGGACACCAUAAUCUCAGAGGUAGUUUUUCCUAUGUCUUCUUACAAUCUGGAGCUCAAAUUUUCUGGUUACACUGAAUUGAAUGGCUGGCCUCGACAAUUACAAGGUUCUCAACUAUCCUUUCUCUGUACCGUGUUCCCACUGCGAGUCGGACUUUUGCUUUAGCUGCCUUCCUGGGAGUUCCAGUAUAAGUCAUAAAAUAGUAGAAAACGUUUCUGUGUAGGAAGUCGGUAAUUUAUUUUUUCGAAAAGAGGAAGUCAGUAUAUGGCUUCAUGGAUAUUGGAAAUGGGAUGUUGGAGGUUUUUGCGUUUCACCACCUGUUCCAUUGAUUCUUUUAUAGGCAUCAAUAUACAACACAUGAAUUUGUGUAACUUUAUACCUUGUAUCUUGGUGUGUGCAUUUCUUUUCUUCAUUCCAGUUCUUUGCAGAUUCGAGGUUUUGUAUCCAUGUAGAGUGCCUGCCAACGGCCUGACUAUUUCAAGCCAGAUCGCAUGUUUUACUUGGGAAACUUGCAUAGACAAACAAGAACUACAGUGCAGUACAAGAAGGAUGAAUACCCAUUGCUUUAUGUUAAUUUCUUCUUUUUCCCUGCAGACACCAUUGUGUUACUGAAGUUCCUGUUUUGUUGAACUCCCCUGAAAUACCAGGUUGUAGGUCAUGAGCUUGGCCAGCGCAAGAACAAACUUCUCAGAUAAGCUCGGAUCAUGGGAAUUAAAUAAGGUUUCUGCGUCGUGUUAACACCAAGUAUAUGUAUUGACAUCGCUUAUAAUUUAUCAGAUACUCAGAGAUGAACUUCGCUUCAUGAACAUGCUGUCAAUUAUAGCGCACAGUUCAGUACUUUCUAAGUCCAAGCCCUGAGCUCCUUGUUUUUUCCUCCUGAAGCACUUUGUCAUUGUAACAAAAUACACCAGGUUGGACUGUUUAAGUAAGCAAGUCCUUUUGCUAUAGUCCCGUCUCCUGUGCACUGGCCUGCUCCUUCUGCUGGGUCUGAUCUCUCAGCAUGAUGAUCCCAAGGUGGCAGUUCCGGUCCGUGAACUCUUGCUCCUGGCCAAGAGGAGUAACUUUGCCUCUGCUCUGCUCUUCUCUCCGUAGUAAUUUCCGGUUGAUUUGAUCGUUUUGUCAGCAUGGCCUUGGUUUGAUAUUUCUUCUAACCAACCGCAAACCAUAUCGCUUCUCACUAUUAGUAGUAGCAUGUUGACUCCUAGUUGGUGGUUAGCCAUGUCUUCGUACUCUUUUUGACGGAACUCGGUGUAGAUUAUUUUGUAUGCUGCUUA